GUGGUAUGAGAAUAGGUUUUAAGACUCACAUCAUUUUCAGAAGUUACACUAAACUUAAUUUAUUAGCAAUUUUCAAAUCCCAUACCAAGAGCAGUAUCGUUGUUAUUGCCCAAAUGACAAUCGGACAGCAUCUCACUAUAGCGAGCCCGAUGUCAGCUUGACGUUUCCAUACUGAGACGCUGUCUUCGGCUGCCUCCUCCAUACUGAGCGAGCAUUGUCUUUCUCAUCGGCAUGGUGAGUUACAGAAGUUUGUAUGGUGAGCAUUCUGGCUAGCGCCAAAUUUUCUCAUGAGACGAUCUGGCGCGCCCCGUCGAUUCGAUGAGAUGCCUUACCACAUGAUAGUGAGGUCGGAUUUUGGAUCGGCUGCCGAUCUUGCUCAUAUGAGUUGAACGGUCUGCCGUAUGGUGAGGGCUCCGUGUGUGGCUGUGUGAUGUAUGUGUGCAUAUGUGAUGAUUCGCGAGACGGCAUAAAGUGUUUUGUUUGGAAGAAGGUUUAGUGCUGAAAUUUAAAAUUAGUGCGAUUCCCUGUGCAAUAUACCGGUUUUGUGGCAAUUACAGUGUUUAUAUUGUUCAUUUUACUGCAGUGCAAGUUUUUUGCAAGAUAUAUCCGUGAUAAGCCGAACGUAUAAAGAAGGAAGAAAGCAGUGAGACAACAGGGUGACAGCAAAAUGCAAUAGCUGGAUAAACCAGAUAAGUAUAAGAAAUUAUCAUUUAAAACAGUGGAAGAUGUUCGGAACAGGAAUUGUUAAAAGAUUAAUUAGUUAUGCUUUAUCGUCCUAAUGUUUCAGAUUCUUCUACAGCGGAUAUUUGAUGGCAAAAAGCGAGUGAAAAAAGAAUGCAACUAUGGACGGACGGCAUAAACCAACUCGAUUAAACUACUAUAUAUACCCGUCGUUAUUGUUGUGCCAACAAUUAUAAGGGAAAUUAUACUGUGAAGCGUAUGCUGCACAAAAUUGUCCCGGUCUGCCAACCAUUUCCUCGCGCCCUUCUGAUUCGAUUGCUCAUGAUCAGACUGUGCAAUUUUAAAAUGCAUACAUAACGGAAUGCAGCUUACUUUUUGACAACGAUUUUUUCCAAGUUUCAUAAGACGUUCA